rnacentral:lncRNA from 1 species
AGACGCCCAGCUUGUGAAGCUUCCUAUGUGCAAAUGGCUGGUUGAACACUAUCACUUUUUCCUGUGCCUCUGUCUUCUGUAGCCAAUUCCACCAUCAUCAUUAUUCACAAAGACAGGAAUCUAGCUGUCCUGGACUGGUACUGUUCCCUGGUAAAGAAAGCAUUUCAUGGUUCACUUAUUGAGGACCAUCAACCACUUCAUAAUUUAGAACCUGAAGAUCGGAUCUUCUGAGAACCUCAGAGAAAGACUGCCCUUGUCAUCCACACUGCAGCAAAACUUCAGGACCUUGAACCUUGGGCUAAUAAUUUCACAACUGAGACGGCUUCAUCUACACCCUUGGAACUAUACCCAUUAGAACCCUUAAGGAUUUUGAAGCCAGCCUUAUACAUGGAUAAGCUUAUACCUUGAUAGAUGGAAGAUGAGGCGCAAUGAAGGUGAGAAAACAAAGGUUUGGCAAGGAUGAGUACUUGCUGCAGGUCCAACAGUUAUGACUGGAUUGGAACUUCAUCCCAGCUUGGCCUAACUUCAGAGGAGUUUCAUUCAACUUAUAUAGAUUCGAUAUGAAAUGGGAAUGCAAGAAGGCAUAGAUA